AUUGAACGCUGGCGGCACGCCUAACACAUGCAAGUCGAGCGGCAGCGCGAUUAGUAGCAAUACUAAUUGGCGGCGAGCGGCGGACGGGUGAGUAACGCGUAGGAACUUGCCCUUUAGUGGGGGAUAACCAAGGGAAACUUUGGCUAAUACCGCAUAAACUCGAGAGAGGAUGGCGCCCGCAAGGGGCUAUCGCACUGAGAUGAGCCUGCGUCUCAUUAGCUAGUGGGUAGGGUAAUGGCCUACCAAGGCAUUGAUGGGUAGCUGGUCUGAGAGGACGAUCAGCCACACUGGAACUGAAACACGGUCCAGACUCCUACGGGAGGCAGCAGUGGGGAAUCUUGCGCAAUGGACGAAGGUCUGACGCAGCGACGCCGCGUGGGUGAAGAAGGCCUUCGGGUUGUAAAGCCCUGUCGAGUGGGAAAAAUGGUAUCUGCAAUAAUAAGGCAGGUAAUUGAUGGUACCACUAGAGGAAGCACCGGCUAACUCCGUGCCAGCAGCCGCCGUAA
rnacentral:rRNA from 1 species